GAAUGAAGGUAGCAUGGUUAUGUGUACAGAAAUUGAAUUAAUUUUGAGUCAACAUGUCUGCUACCUUUGAUUUCGCUAUGAUUUGGUGGCCUGGUUUAGACUCACAUUC
rnacentral:snoRNA from 1 species